rnacentral:rRNA from 1 species
GACGAACGCUGGCGGCGUGCUUAACACAUGCAAGUCGAACGGAAAGGCCCUGCCUUUGUGGGGUGCUCGAGUGGCGAACGGGUGAGUAACACGUGAGUAACCUGCCCUUGACUUUGGGAUAACUUCAGGAAACUGAGGCUAAUACCGGAUAGGAGCUCCUGCUGCAUGGUGGGGGUUGGAAAGUUUCGGCGGGUGGGGAUGGACUCGCGGCUUAUCAGCUUGUUGGUGGGGUAGUGGCUUACCAAGGCUUUGACGGGUAGCCGGCCUGAGAGGGUGACCGGCCACAUUGGGACUGAGAUACGGCCCAGACUCCUACGGGAGGCAGCAGUGGGGAAUAUUGCACAAUGGGCGGAAGCCUGAUGCAGCAACGCCGCGUGCGGGAUGACGGCCUUCGGGUUGUAAACCGCUUUCGCCUGUGACGAAGCGUGAGUGACGGUAAUGGGUAAAGAAGCACCGGCUAACUACGUG